UACGUAGGGGCGAGCGUUGUCCGGAAUCCUUGGGCGUCAAGCGCGCGUAGGUGGCCUCGUAUGUCCGCUGUGAAAGUCAAAGGCUCAACCUUUGAAAGCCGGUGGAUACUGUGAGGCUAGAGUACGGAAGAGGCGAGUGGAAUUCCUGGUGUAGCGGUGGAAUGCGCAGAUAUCAGGAGGAACACCAAUAGCGAAGGCAGCUCGCUGGGACGUAACUGACACUGAGGCGCGAAAGCGUGGGGAGCGAACAGG
rnacentral:rRNA from 1 species